GUGCCAGCAGCCGCGGUAAGACGAACCAUCCAAACGUUAUUCGGAAUCACUGGGCUUAAAGGGUGCGUAGGCGGCGUGAUAAGUUGGGUGUGAAAUACCUCGGCCUAACCGAGGAAUUGCGCCCAAUACUGUUAUGCUCGAGGAAGACAUAGGUGAGCGGAACUUAGGGUGGAGCGGUGAAAUGCGUUGAUAUCCUAAGGAACACCAGUAGCGAAAGCGGCUCACUGGGUCUUAUCUGACGCUGAGGCACGAAAGCCAGGGGAGCGAACGGGAUUAGAAACCCCCGUAGUCC
rnacentral:rRNA from 1 species